rnacentral:tRNA from 1 species
UAGGAAUUAUUUUAAUAAGAAUAUUUAGCUGUUGACUAAAAGGUAAUUUCCUAU